rnacentral:rRNA from 1 species
UACGUAGGGGGCUAGCGUUGUUCCGGAAUCAUUGGGCGUAAAGAGCGUGUAUGGCGGCUUGGUAAGUCCGCUGUGAAAGUCCAGGGCUCAACCCUGGAAAGCCAGUGGAAACUGUCAAGCUAGAGUCCGGGAAGAGGCGAGUGGAACUCCUGGUGUAAGCGGUGAAAUGCGCAGAUAUCAGGAAGAACACCAAUGGCGAAGGCGGCUCACUGGUCCGGUAACUGACGCUGAGGUGCGAAAGCGUGGGGAGCGAAACAGGA